rnacentral:other from 2 species
CAGGAGCUGCUGUGUUGGCCUUUUGCCCUACACAGUUUUCCGAUCUGACUCCCUUUCGAUCCGGGAGGCAUGUCGCGAAGGCAAAGUAGACCGGUCUCCGAGCCGGAAACGGCGCCCCGCUGUUGCCUCCCAUCCUGGUUUCCGCCAGGUCGAAACCUGGGGCAAGGCGGCAUAGUGGUUCCAAU